rnacentral:rRNA from 1 species
UACAGAGGGUGCAAGCGUUGUUCGGAAUCAUUGGGCGUAAAGAGCGUGUAGGCGGCUUCACAGGUCCGCUGUGAAAACUCGAGGCUCAACCUCGAGCUGUCGGUGGAAACCGUGUGGCUAGAGUCCGGAAGAGGAGAGUGGAAUUCCCGGUGUAGCGGUGAAAUGCGCAGAUAUCGGGAAGAACACCCGUGGCGAAGGCGGCUCUCUGGGACGGUACUGACGCUGAGACGCGAAAGCGUGGGGAGCGAACAGG